AGAUUGAACGCUGGCGGCAGGCCUAACACAUGCAAGUCGAGCGGUAGAGAGGUGCUUGCAUCUCUUGAGAGCGGCGGACGGGUGAGUAAUGCCUAGGAAUCUGCCUAGUGGUGGGGGAUAACGUUCGGAAACGGACGCUAAUACCGCAUACGUCCUACGGGAGAAAGCGGGGGACCUUCGGGCCUCGCGCCAUUAGAUGAGCCUAGGUCGGAUUAGCUAGUCGGUGAGGUAAUGGCUCACCAAGGCGACGAUCCGUAACUGGUCUGAGAGGAUGAUCAGUCACACUGGAACUGAGACACGGUCCAGACUCCUACGGGAGCAGCAGUGGGGAAUAUUGGACAAGUGGGCGAAAGCCUGAUCCAGCCAUGCCGCGUGUGUG
rnacentral:rRNA from 1 species